rnacentral:siRNA from 1 species
UAUGGUUGGAGAGGACACAA